rnacentral:rRNA from 1 species
UACGUAUGGUGCAAGCGUUAUCCGGAUUUACUGGGUGUAAAGGGAGCGCAGGCGGCACGGCAAGCCUGGUGUGAAAGCCCGCGACCCAACCGCGGGACUGCAUUGGGAACUACCGGGCUGGAGUGCCGGAGAGGUAGGCGGAAUUCCUAGUGUAGCGGUGAAAUGCGUAGAUAUUAGGAGGAACACCAGUGGCGAAGGCGGCCUACUGGACGGUGACUGACGCUGAGGCUCGAAAGCGUGGGGAGCAAACAGG